UACGUAGGGUGCAAGCGUUGUCCGGAAUUAUUGGGCGUAAAGAGCUCGUAGGCGGUCUGUCGCGUCGGCUGUGAAAACCCAAGGCUCAACCUUGGGCCUGCAAUCGAUACGGGCAGACUAGAGUACUGCAGGGGAGACUGGAAUUCCUGGUGUAGCGGUGGAAUGCGCAGAUAUCAGGAGGAACACCGGUGGCGAAGGCGGGUCUCUGGGCCGUAACUGACGCUGAGGAGCGAAAGCAUGGGGAGCGAACAGG
rnacentral:rRNA from 1 species